rnacentral:lncRNA from 1 species
GGAGGGGGGUGAGGAAUGAAAAGCUACCCACUGGGUACAAUGUACACUAUUUGGGUGAGGGACACACUAAAAGCCCAGACUUCACCACCAUGCAAUAUAUCCAUGUAACAAAAAUGCACUUGUACCCCCUAAAUCUGUUUUUUUAAAAAGGUCUUGCAGUGUGACUUGGUGGAUGCCAAGAAGGAGUUCUGGGAACUGGCCUUUCCUACAACAGAGAGAAUGCCUCCGAGACGCUGAUCAGCCAAAUGCUCUGACCACGGCCAUGUGCAUUAAGUAUACACCCACGAGAGCCUAAGCAUAUACUUAAUUGCACCAAAAUGUCCAUGAAGCCUACCCAACUGAUUUUCAGUUCCCAUUCAUUAUUUAUGAGACAGGUGAUAAGUUACACUGAAACGAUGCCAAUGAUAGUUGGCAUAUAACUAUGAUAAGACCUUUGGUGGUAUACGUUCCUCUUGUGUGAUUUCAAUUUCUUAAAAUAUGCUGUGAUUUUUUUCUGUCCCCAUUGAUUUACAGAUAAAAAUCUUUGUUUUCCACUUCUUUUUUCUCUGUGACUGCCCUCCAUUACACUUCAUCAUUAUUCUAUUUUCUUUCUUGAGCUCUAAUGGAAAAGACGGGAGUACCAUGACAGAAGGAAAAUAUAAAAACUCCAGUACCUACAUAGAAGUGCAACCUUGGAUGCUCUUCUAGGAAGACAAGACCCCAUCUAGAAGUGUGGUAACUGGAUAAAGAAUCAAAGCAUGGUUCCCUUCAAAGGUAGGCCCACUGGUCUUGCUGAGACCCUCCCUGACAACUUAACCCAGGAAUGAC